rfam:Danio rerio chromosome 19, GRCz11 reference primary assembly.
UGUAAACAUCCUACACUCUCAGCUGUGACGUCACCAAGCUGGGAGAGGGAUGUUUACU